rnacentral:rRNA from 1 species
UACGUAGGGGGCAAGCGUUGUCCGGAUUUAUUGGGCGUAAAGAGCGUGUAGGCGGCCAGACAGGUCCGUUGUGAAAACUGGAGGCUUAACCUCUAGACGUCGAUGGAAACCGUCUGGCUAGAGUCCGGAAGAGGAGAAUGGAAUUCCUGGUGUAGCGGUGAAAUGCGCAGAUAUCAGGAAGAACACCCGUGGCUAAGGCGGUUCUCUAGUACGGUACUGACGCUGAGACGCGAAAGCGUGGGGAGCGAACAGG